UUUUCUAAAAUAUAUUGUUAUUUUCGGCAUGUAUCCAACCUAUUGAAUUUGAUUUAAUGCCAUGACUUUCCUUCACUCAAUUCAACCAAGCAACUAGUGAAUAAAUUUAUCAAAAGUACAACAUAUAGGUAACAACAUAUAUAGUACUAAUUCAUAAAUUCAACAUUUAUAUUACCAGAAAAGUGACAUUAUAGGUAGUAACUUACAUGUUGUAACUUGUGCAUCAUUCAUAUAAAAUACUUAAAAAUUUACAUAGUAGUCUUUGAUGCGAUAGGUCUAUUUGAAGAUGAAAGUAAUAUGACCAGAACAUUAAAGAAAAUGAUGUAAUAAAUAGAAUAAUAGUUAGUAUUUGUUAUUGUGCAUUUUUGUGAAAACCGAGUAUUAUGCUCUCUAGAAAAAUAAAAAUAUAUAAUCAACGUCCUCAUUUAUGAUAUUUAAAAACAAAGUUGAUAUGAAUGCCUUUUAUUGUCAGAAGUUAAUAAUUCUUAUCCAUGUCCUAAUCAUUAAGAUGAUUUUCUUUUAUAUAUCAGUUGAGGACUGCUUCUAAUUUAUAACAACUAUCAUAAAUAAAGGGGGAAAUAAAGGGGGAAAAUCACCAUCCAAGGUGACAUCAAAGUCUAGCCAAAUUCUCGGCAAUAAUCAACAACUCAAAGAAACAAAGAUGUAGUAAAUAUGCAUUGCAUACUCUUUAUACGUUCAGUAUUUGUUGAUAUUAGGCAUAUAUAAUUUUAUUUUGAUCAAGACAGGAAUCUAACAAUCCAAAUAAUUUAUACCACCACUCUUAUUAAUGAAAAGUAUAAUUAUUGUCAUGCGGGUAAAGUUAAUAUUUCAACGUUAGGAUGAAUUACAAAAGCUUGGCUAAGCAUGAUAUGAUCAGUAAUAGUUUUCAAACAAAAUCCUGUAUAUAUAACCAUAGUUAACAACCCAAAUUGAAAUAUAUUACCUAGUUAUUGCAAUUGGCAGCACCGCAAACUUUUAAACUUCGAUGAGAAAAUCAAAUUCAAUUUUACAAUGAAAAAUAGAGACUAAUUCGUGCUGAUAACGUGUUAUGAAAUAUAACUUAAAGUAACAAUAUGCAACAAGGAAAUAAAAGCAAUUUAAUAAAACAUAAACAAGAAAUGGAGAUAGAGAGAAGGAAGAGC
rnacentral:lncRNA from 1 species